rnacentral:rRNA from 1 species
GACAGAGGGUGCAAACGUUGUUCGGAAUUACUGGGCGUAAAGCGCGUGUAGGCUGCUUCGCAAGUCGGAUGUGAAAGCCCUGGGCUCAACCCAGGAAGUGCAUUUGAAACUGCAGAGCUGGAGUCCUGGAGAGGAAGGCGGAAUUCUCGGUGUAGAGGUGAAAUUCGUAGAUAUCGAGAGGAACACCGGUGGCGAAGGCGGCCUUCUGGACAGUGACUGACGCUGAGACGCGAAAGCGUGGGAAGCAAACAGG